rnacentral:rRNA from 1 species
UACGAAGGGGGGCUAGCGUUGCUCGGAAUCACUGGGCGUAAAGGGUGCGUAGGCGGGUCUUUUAAGUCAGGGGUGAAAUCCUGGAGCUCAACUCCAGAACUGCCUUUGAUACUGAAGAUCUUGAGUUCGGGAGAGGUGAGUGGAACUGCGAGUGUAGAGGUGAAAUUCGUAGAUAUUCGCAAGAACACCAGUGGCGAAGGCGGCUCACUGGCCCGAUACUGACGCUGAGGCACGAAAGCGUGGGGAUCAAACAGG